ACACUUUCUUCUUGCCGCAGCGAAGGACGCUCGAAGCAAGCCUCUUCUGGAGCCUGAGCACACACACAUAACUCAGCACCCCAUCGCCAUGGCAACACUGCACGCUCAACAAUGUGGGUGCAAGAGUGGCACUUCUUCACCUCAGCCCCUAGGACCUCGAGUUUCUGGAUUCCCAAUGUGGUGACAAGCGGCUUGGCCUGAUGGUCUUUGUAGGCCUACCUCCAUCACCACGGCUGCUCUGUUGUUCUUUCAUCAAUCGAUAAGUGAAGGUGGGGUCUGUUCAGCGGGGUGUGGACCUCGACUCCCAGCUGGAGUCCAUGGAGCGCACACAGGAGACAGAACCAGCGUCAAGAUAGGCAGAGGAAGACUGACUCAUUCCGGUAGUAAGAGGAAUCUGCCUUCAAAAUUAAAGCAUGUCUGUUAGAAGACUAUCGAUUUGACUUUUGACACAACUGUUCUGGUUGUAAUGGUUCCAUUACUUUUGAUAUGAUGUCAUUAUUACUUAGUGUCACGAGCCCUAGCAGUGAUAACUUAAAUCAUGGUAAGUUAUAUAAUUCAAAAAAGGAAUAGGAUUAGUCCCAAUGAUUCUUGAAAUGUGUAAGUAUAUGUAUAUAAUCUGCAACAAAUAAUUCACUGUAAAAGUAAUUUAUCAUGCAAUCGUCAAAUAAAAUUCAGUUUUCGCCCUCUGAAACGUAGAGAUUU